CAAAGUAUUUCAAGAAACUGGAAAACAAAUAUCAAAUAAAUCCAACCCACUUCAAUAGGUCUGAACACAGUCUGUGGGCGAGCAGAAUGUCUAGCUGACGGCCCUCCACGCAGGAGUGUGAUGAUUUGUAACUAUGCAGCACAAAUAUGGCCAUCGGAGUCUGAUGUUUCUGCUUGGCUCUGCCUGAGGACUUGUCCUUCACCAGCCUCAUCCAACCUCAACACAACAUAGCAAUUCUUAAUUACUAUUAUAACACUUGUUUAAGGGGGGGGGGUAUUUUAAUUCAGCCAGAAGAACCAAUGUGGUGAGCUGAAAUAGGCUUCAUUAUUGCCCUUGUUUUCCUGGCAAGCAGAUCAGGUGAUAACAUGUGACAAGAUUAUAAGUGAGAGAUGCCUCUUAAUGUGGUACGUUCAAUGUCUGCAAUCCCCUUUGACUUUAAUUAAAAGGUACUGAGUGUAGGCAACACCGAAGUACAUUCCUCAAAUGUCUUCUUAGCUAAAUUACUCCUCUGGAACGUUUAAAUGGCCGGGCCCCAUUUGAAUUAGAACACUGACGGCACAAUCCGUAAAUUAAAUUUCUGCUACACCUGCUACGGCACAGCUUUGAUUAACAGGUUGUAGCAUAGAGGCUAUUACUUCAGCAUGAUUCAUUACACCUCCACCGCUAGUCCGUCAAUGAAUGCAUGCAUCGCACGGGUGUCUUCUUCUGGUUUUGCAGAUCUCGGGCAAGGAACUCCAGAUGCU
ensembl:lncRNA